CCGACAUAGACCCCUGAACCAAUCUUAAAAAUUCAUUUUAUUUUGCAUCACGAUAAAAUCGAGGAUAGUAUGUUUCAUAGAAAGCUUCCUUGAAAAUGGUCCAGGUGACAAUACUAGGAUCUGGACACCGACUUCGAAACGAAAUCCACCAGUCAGCAGCUCCUCCUUUCAAUAAAAAUACAGCAAUGCGUAAUUUUUUGUCCUCUGAGCAUUCUAUCACAUCAAAUAUACUUUCCAAAGUCGUCAUCCAAAGUCCAGUAUCAACUGGAUUAGAUGUACCAAUAAAAAAUUUCGCCCUGAGUUUCAUCGCCCUCUCAAUAGAGUUAUCUCUAUCGGUAUUGGGUAGAAGGGAAGCAAUAGCUGCAGCUAUUCUAUCGAUGACAGGGUCAUGUUGCACCUAAGACUGGUGAACUGAUUUUGCGGCCCCACUAGCCCCUCCAUCAUGUCUUCCUUCAGAAG
rnacentral:lncRNA from 1 species